GGGCCGGCCGUCGAAGCACGUGGAGCACGCAAUUAGGAGCGCAGCGCAAUUAGUUGAUGGCAUACAGUGGGAGGCGCAUCUUGCUUCUGUGGUGAAUGAAGGUACAGCCCCGCACACGCUGGGGGAACCCACGCCAGGCUCCUUUUACAAUAAAAGCAACAACCUGGGGCCUGUUCUAGCAACCUGUGGGUAUUUUAUCAUUUAAAAGCCUGACUACUGGAGUUAUCAUCAGAUCUCCCACUUGAGCAGGAGCAGAAGCAGGGGCAGGAGCACCCCCCCACUGCGAGAGAGCCUGGUGCCUCCCGGGGCCGUGAUGACAGGCUGCAGGGGACAUCCCCGCAGAGCAGACUCCCCGCUCCCCAUUUAAGGGGAGCAAAACAGCGAUGUCACCACAUUGCCACCUCCUGUCCCCCCAGGGCAAAAUUGAAUCUAUCACCCUAAGAACCUGAAUUAACAUCUCAAAGGGCCCUGGACACCUGGGCUCCCUCUUCCCUGUAUGGCUGGGGCCCUGGAUGUCUGGGUUCCCUCAG